rnacentral:rRNA from 1 species
GAUGAACGCUGGCGGCGUGCUUAACACAUGCAAGUCGAACGGAAAGGCUCCUGCUUGCAGGGGUACUCGAGUGGCGAACGGGUGAGUAACACGUGGGUGAUCUGCCCUGCACUUCGGGAUAAGCCUGGGAAACUGGGUCUAAUACCGGAUAGGACGAUGGUUUGGAUGCCACUGUGGAAAGUUUUUUCGGUGUGGGAUGAGCUCGCGGCCUAUCAGCUUGUUGGUGGGGUAAUGGCCUACCAAGGCGUCGACGGGUAGCCGGCCUGAGAGGGUGUACGGCCACAUUGGGACUGAGAUACGGCCCAGACUCCUACGGGAGGCAGCAGUGGGGAAUAUUGCACAAUGGGCGCAAGCCUGAUGCAGCGACGCCGCGUGGGGGAUGACGGCCUUCGGGUUGUAAACUCCUUUCGCUAGGGACGAAGCGCAAGUGACGGUACCUGGAGAAGAAGCACCGGCUAACUACGUG